GGCCGAACUGGAACGGGGGGGGGGCGGCUAACACAUGCAAGUCGAGCGGAUGAAGGGAGCUUGCUCCUGGAUUCAGCGGCGGACGGGUGAGUAAUGCCUAGGAAUCUGCCUGGUAGUGGGGGAUAACGUCCGGAAACGGGCGCUAAUACCGCAUACGUCCUGAGGGAGAAAGUGGGGGAUCUUCGGACCUCACGCUAUCAGAUGAGCCUAGGUCGGAUUAGCUAGUUGGUGGGGUAAAGGCCUACCAAGGCGACGAUCCGUAACUGGUCUGAGAGGAUGAUCAGUCACACUGGAACUGAGACACGGUCCAGACUCCUACGGGAGGCAGCAGUGGGGAAUAUUGGACAAUGGGCGAAAGCCUGAUCCAGCCAUGCCGCGUGUGUGAAGAAGGUCUUCGGAUUGUAAAGCACUUUAAGUUGGGAGGAAGGGCAGUAAGUUAAUACCUUGCUGUUUUGACGUUACCAACAGAAUAAGCACCGGCUAACUUCGUGCCAGCAGCCGCGGUAAUACGAAGGGUGCAAGCGUUAAUCGGAAUUACUGGGCGUAAAGCGCGCGUAGGUGGUUCAGCAAGUUGGAUGUGAAAUCCCCGGGCUCAACCUGGGAACUGCAUCCAAAACUACUGAGCUAGAGUACGGUAGAGGGUGGUGGAAUUUCCUGUGGAGCGAUGAAAUGCGGACAUAUUCGAAGGAGCACCACGGCGGAGGGCGACCACCUGGAGUGAGACUGACACUGAUGUGCGAAACAGUGGCGAGCACACACCAUGAGAUACCCUGCGAGUCUGGGCCGCACACGAUGUCAACUAAACUUUUGGGGAGCGCUCACGAGAAUAUUGGCGGGGCUAAAAGGAAAAGAC
rnacentral:rRNA from 1 species